UGAUUUUUCACUAUCAAAAGACCAAAAAAGCACGCAAAACGAAACGCCGCUACAAAAACAAUAUUGUUUCUUUCUACACCGAUUCUUUGCUCUUUUAACUUUUGUCUUUCCUCUCUCUUUCUCUAUUCUGUUCUCCGGCUUGCUGCCACCGUUCGUAUUCAGACCUACUGUCAGGUACUUUCUUAGCCUUGAGUAGCAAGUGAUUGUAGAAAUAUGUAAAUUCAAGGAUUGGUUGAAUACAUGCUGCUUUGAGCUUAACUCCUUUUGAUCCCCCUGUUACUUUAGUGUUCUGCAAUAGAUAUGUAAUUUUGCCUGUUGAUCAAGUUAUUCAUCCACACAUUUAAUGCUAUGUAUAUUCAAUUGUCAUAGGCAUAAGCAGCUGGAUAUGUAUGUCUGACAGUAGGUGAUACUAGUUUGCCAGGCAUGUUCUAUUUUUGUAUUUGUUCCUGAAUGUGCUUUAAAUGUCCUUUGGAACGAUUCUUUGAAACUCAUGAAAAACCAGAACUUAACCUACUGGGAAUUAUCAUAGUCAGCUUUAUUCAAUUCAGCA